rnacentral:rRNA from 1 species
GAGAAUGUUGGCAUGAGUAGCGAGAUGUGGGUGAGAAUCCCACAGGCCGUAAACCCAAGGUUUCCAGGGGAAGGUUCGUCCGCCCUGGGUUAGUCGGGACCUAAGCUGAGGCCGAAAGGCGUAGGCGAUGGACAACAGGUUGAUAUUCCUGUACUACCGAUAACCGUUUGAGAGAGGGGAUGACACAGUAGGAUAAGCUAAGCACACUGUUGGCUAUGUGUGCCCAAGCAUUGAGGCAGUCAAAGUAGGCAAAUCCGCUUUGAUAAUGCUGGGAUGUGAUGGGGAGCGAAAUUUAGUAGCGAAGUAGCUGAUUUCACACUGUCAAGAAAAGUCUCUAUCGAGGUUAAAGGUACCCGUACCGCAAACCGACACAGGUGGGUGAGGAGAGUAUCCUAAGGCCAGCGAGAGAACUGUUGUUAAGGAACUCGGCAAAAUGACCCCGUAACUUAGGGAUAAGGGGUGCCACCAUCA